CAAUCGGCCCUUUUCAGGGCCAAUGAACUUUGUUACAAGGGGUUAAU
rfam:Aedes aegypti strain Liverpool supercont1.476 genomic scaffold, whole genome shotgun sequence.